rnacentral:tRNA from 1 species
GGUGGUGUAGCUCAGAUAGUAGAGCGCACGCUUAGUAUGCGAGAGGUACGGGGAUCGAUACCCCGCCCUCCA